CCUAAGGGAGGCAGCAGUGAGGAAUAUUGGUCAAUGGCCGGAAGGCUGAACCAGCCAUGCCGCGUGAAGGUCAGUGCCCUAUGGGCGUUAAACUUCUUUUGUGCGGGAGCAAUAAUGGUCACGUGUGGCCAGACGAGAGUACCGUACGAAUAAGCAUCGGCUAACUCCGUGCCAGCAGCCGCGGUAAUACGGGGGAUGCAAGCGUUAUCCGGAUUUAUUGGGUUUAAAGGGUGCGUAGGCUGUGAGGUAAGUCAGCGGUGAAAUGCCCCCGCUCAACGGGGUGAAGUGCCAUUGAUACUGCCUUGCUGGAAUGCGGAUGCCGUGGGAGGAAUGUGUGGUGUAGCGGUGAAAUGCAUAGAUAUCACACAGAACACCGAUUGCGAAGGCAUCUCACGAAUCCGCGAUUGACGCUGAUGCACGAAAGCGUGGGUAUCAAACAGGAUUAGAUACCCCUGUAGUC
rnacentral:rRNA from 1 species